rnacentral:rRNA from 1 species
GACGAACGCUGGCGGCGUGCUUAACACAUGCAAGUCGAACGGAAAGGCCCUGCUUUUGUGGGGUGCUCGAGUGGCGAACGGGUGAGUAACACGUGAGUAACCUGCCCUUUACUUUGGGAUAACUUCAGGAAACUGGGGCUAAUACCGGAUAGUAGCUCCUGCUUCAUGGUGGGGGUUGGACAGUUUCGGCGGUUGGGGAUGGACUCGCGGCUUAUCAGCUUGUUGGUGGGGUAGUGGCUUACCAAGGCUUUGACGGGUAGCCGGCCUGAGAGGGUGACCGGCCACAUUGGGACUGAGAUACGGCCCAGACUCCUACGGGAGGCAGCAGGGGGGAAUAUUGCACAAUGGGCGGAAGCCUGAUGCAGCAACGCCGCGUGCGGGAUGACGGCCUUCGGGUUGUAAACCGCUUUCGCCUGUGACGAAGCGUGAGUGACGGUAAUGGGUAAAGAAGCACCGGCUAACUACGUG